rnacentral:tRNA from 1 species
GCCCCUGUAGCCAAGUGGACUAAGGCAUCUGGCUUCUAACCAGAGAUUAACGAGGGUUCGAAUCCUUCCAGGGGUA